rnacentral:rRNA from 1 species
GAUGAACGCUGGCGGCGUGCCUAAUACAUGCAAGUCGAGCGAACAGACGAGGAGCUUGCUCCUCUGACGUUAGCGGCGGACGGGUGAGUAACACGUGGAUAACCUACCUAAAGACUGGGAUAACUUCGGGAAACCGGAGCUAAUACCGGAUAAUAUAUUGAACCGCAUGGUUCAAUAGUGAAAGACGGUUUUGCUGUCACUUAUAGAUGGAUCCGCGCCGCAUUAGCUAGUUGGUAAGGUAACGGCUUACCAAGGCAACGAUGCGUAGCCGACCUGAGAGGGUGAUCGGCCACACUGGAACUGAGACACGGUCCAGACUCCUACGGGAGGCAGCAGUAGGGAAUCUUCCGCAAUGGGCGAAAGCUUGACGGAGCAACGCCGCGUGAGUGAUGAAGGUCUUCGGAUCGUAAAACUCUGUUAUUAGGGAAGAACAAAUGUGUAAGUAACUAUGCACGUCUUGACGGUACCUAAUCAGAAAGCCACGGCUAACUACGUG